rnacentral:rRNA from 1 species
GAAAAGAACUAACAAGGAUUCCCCUAGUAACUGCGAGUGAAGCGGGAAAAGCUCAAAUUUAAAAUCUGUCAGUCUUUUUGGCUGUCCGAGGUGUAAUCUAGAGAAGUGUUAUCCGCGCUGGACCGUGUACAAGUCUCCUGGAAUGGAGCGUCGUAGAGGGUGAGAAUCCCGUCUUUGACACGGACUGCCAGGGCUUUGUGAUGCGCUCUCAAAGAGUCGAGUUGUUUGGGAAUGCAGCUCAAAAUGGGUGGUAAAUUCCAUCUAAAGCUAAAUAUUGGCGAGAGACCGAUAGCGAACAAGUACCGUGAGGGAAAGAUGAAAAGAACUUUGGAAAGAGAGUUAAACAGUACGUGAAAUUGCUGAAAGGGAAACGCUUGAAGUCAGUCGCGUUGACCAGGGAUCAACCCUUGCUUUUGCUGGGUGUACUUUCUGGUUGACGGGUCAGCAUCAAUUUUGACCAUUGGAAAAAGAUUAGGGGAAUGGUGGCAUCUUCGGAUGUGUUAUAGCCUCUGGUUGCAUACAAUGGUUGAGAUUGAGGAACUCAGCACGCCGCAAGGCCGGGUUUUUAACCACGUACGUGCUUAGGAUGUUGGCAUAAUGGCUUUAAUCGACCCGUCUUGAAACACGGACCAAGGAGUCUAACAUACCUGCGAGUGUUUGGGUGGAAAACCCGAGCGCGUAAUGAAAGUGAAAGUUGAGAUCCCUGUCGUGGGGAGCAUCGACGCCCGGACCAGACCUUUUGUGACGGUUCCGCGGUAGAGCAUGUAUGUUGGGACCCGAAAGAUGGUGAACUAUGCCUGAAUAGGGUGAAGCCAGAGGAAACUCUGGUGGAGGCUCGUAGCGAUUCUGACGUGCAAAUCGAUCGUCAAAUUUGGGUAUAGGGGCGAAAGACUAAUCGA